GUGGUGGUGGUGGUGGGUAGGGGAGCCAUGUGGGGAAGGCAAGUGAGAUGCUAUGUUUGGCAAAUGAAACUGUCUGCAGCUUUGCAAUGUGGGGGAAGAGGGCAGAGGAGAACACUUGGUCCCUGGUUCUCUUGGUCUCCAACUCUGAGCUUUUCCCCAAGGUUGGGAGUCCUUUAUUUUCUGGACAAGCACUGGGAAUCUGGUUGGGGCUGAUGUGUAAUGGUGAAAGGCUAGGACUUCUCUGAAGCACAGAGAUUCUCUGGAGGAUGAAAUCAUCCAACUCAGUAAAUAAACAUCUAUCUGAAGUAGCAGCACUUUUUGUUUCUGCUUUAGAGGAGAUUGCUGAUACCAGACUUGAAGAACAUGAGAACUAUGGUAAGAAUGACACUGAGACAACACUCUGUUUUUAUGUCUGUUUUUAUCAACAUUAAAACAUUAGGGCAAUAGAAAAAUUUAGGUUGAAAGCGUAUUUUAUUACCUGCUUUGCAAAUGGCUUUAAGAUUAGGUAAUACCUUUUAGAAUAAGAAAUAGAUAAAUAAAUGCUCACUUUUGGGCAUACCCUCUCCAACUUUUUUCAACUUUUAUGCUUUAAAGUAGGGUAAUAAUAGGGAUCUUCAAACUGGGUUCCAGAAAAAGGGAUUUCGUAUAUAAUCCCUGAACCCCUCAUGUCAUGCAUCAUAUAUAACCCCAAACACACCAUGCUAUGAUUCAACUCCUGAACAUAUCAUAUCACCAGGAUGAAGUCAUGGAUACCAAGAAAGCAGCAUGGUGAUGGCAGGUUGUCUUCAGACAAACUCCGAAGUUAGAAAAAUCACCUCAUCUUCCUAAGGGUUAGUUUGUUCCCUCAUAUGUGUGUGGUUGGACUAGAUGGGAGGUUUCUAAACUUUUUAGCACCACGACCCCCAAAUAUGAUGCCAUAUCAUGCAUGACUUAGUGUGUUCAGGGGUUACAUAUCAUACAUGGCAUGGUGUGUUCAGGGGUUACAGAUCAUACAUGAUGGCAUAAUGCAUUCAGGAGUUAUAUAUGAUACAUGGCAUGGCACAUUCAGGGGUUACAUUUGACAGAGAGAUGCUAUGGUUAAAGGAAUCGAGAGAGAAAGGGAAGUGGAUGGCUCAGACUUCUUACCUCCCUGUUCUCUCCUUCCCUUAUGGAAGGAAUCAGGAUUCACUACAAAAUUUGCAGGGUUCAGUGCAAAAUAAAUUUGGGACUCUUUGUUAAAAAACCAAAAAAAAAAAAUUAAAUAUACUAAAAUAUAAAGUUUUUUCCUUUAAAAAAUUCAGUGAAUUUCAAAAUGUAAUAGCUACAGCCAAGAUAAAUGAGCAGCAUAAAUUUACAAAUUGCAAAAAUAGUAUUUUUUGUGUCAUAAUUUUAUGUAGUACAAUAUAUAA
rnacentral:lncRNA from 1 species